rnacentral:rRNA from 1 species
AACGAACGCUGGCGGCAUGCCUAACACAUGCAAGUCGAACGAGAUCUUCGGGUCUAGUGGCGCACGGGUGCGUAACGCGUGGGAAUCUGCCCUUUGGUUCGGAAUAACAGUUGGAAACGACUGCUAAUACCGGAUGAUGACGAAAGUCCAAAGAUUUAUCGCCAGAGGAUGAGCCCGCGUAGGAUUAGCUAGUUGGUGUGGUAAAGGCGCACCAAGGCGACGGUCCUUAGCUGGUCUGAGAGGACGAUCAGCCACACUGGGACUGAGACACGGCCCAGACUCCUACGGGAGGCAGCAGUGGGGAAUAUUGGACAAUGGGCGAAAGCCUGAUCCAGCAAUGCCGCGUGAGUGAUGAAGGCCUUAGGGUUGUAAAGCUCUUUUACCCGGGAUGGUAAUGACAGUACCGGGAGAAUAAGCUCCGGCUAACUCCGUGCCAGCCGCCGCCGUAA